rnacentral:rRNA from 1 species
UACAGAGGGUGCGAGCGUUUGUUCGGAAUUAUUGGGCGUAAAGCGCUUGUAGGCGGCUUGUUAAGUUCCGUGUGAAAUCCCCAGGCUUAACCUGGGAAGUGCGCGGAAACUGGCGAGCUUGAGUGCCGGAGAGGGUCGCGGAAUUCCGGUGUAGAGGUGAAAUUCGUAGAUAUCGGGAAGGAACACCAGUGGCGAAGGCGGCUCACUGGACCGGUACUGACGCUGAUGCGCGGAAGCGUGGGA